rnacentral:rRNA from 1 species
AACAGGAUUAGAUACCCUGGUAGUCCACGCCGUAAACGAUGUCGACUUGGAGGUUGUUCCCUUGAGGAGUGGCUUCCGGAGCUAACGCGUUAAGUCGACCGCCUGGGGAGUACGGCCGUAAGGUUAAAACUCAAAUGAAUUGACGGGGGCCCGCACAAGCGGUGGAGCAUGUGGUUUAAUUCGAUGCAACGCGAAGAACCUUACCUACUCUUGACAUCCACGGAAUUUGGCAGAGAUGCCUUAGUGCCUUCGGGAACCGUGAGACAGGUGCUGCAUGGCUGUCGUCAGCUCGUGUUGUGAAAUGUUGGGUUAAGUCCCGCAACGAGCGCAACCCUUAUCCUUUGUUGCCAGCGAUUCGGUCGGGAACUCAAAGGAGACUGCCGGUGAUAAACCGGAGGAAGGUGGGGAUGACGUCAAGUCAUCAUGGCCCUUACGAGUAGGGCUACACACGUGCUACAAUGGCGCAUACAAAGAGAAGCGACCUCGCGAGAGCAAGCGGACCUCACAAAGUGCGUCGUAGUCCGGAUCGGAGUCUGCAACUCGACUCCGUGAAGUCGGAAUCGCUAGUAAUCGUGGAUCAGAAUGCCACGGUGAAUACGUUCCCGGGCCUUGUACACACCGCCCGUCACACCAUGGGAGUGGGUUGCAAAAGAAGUAGGUAGCUUAACCUUCGGGAGGGCGCUUACCACUUUGUGAUUCAUGACUGGGGUGAAGUCGUAACAAGGUAACC